rnacentral:rRNA from 1 species
AGUGAACGCUGGCGGUAGGCCUAACACAUGCAAGUCGAACGGCAGCACAGUAAGAGCUUGCUCUUACGGGUGGCGAGUGGCGGACGGGUGAGGAAUACAUCGGAAUCUACUUUUUCGUGGGGGAUAACGUAGGGAAACUUACGCUAAUACCGCAUACGACCUACGGGUGAAAGCAGGGGAUCUUCGGACCUUGCGCGAUUGAAUGAGACGAUGUCGGAUUAGCUAGUUGGCGGGGUAAAGGCCCACCAAGGCGACGAUCCGUAGCUGGUCUGAGAGGAUGAUCAGCCACACUGGAACUGAGACACGGUCCAGACUCCUACGGGAGGCAGCAGUGGGGAAUAUUGGACAAUGGGCGCAAGCCUGAUCCAGCCAUACCGCGUGAGUGAAGAAGGCCUUCGGGUUGUAAAGCCCUUUUGUUGGGAAAGAAAAGCAGCAGGUUAAUACCCCGCUGUUCUGACGGUACCCAAAGAGUAAGCACCGGCUAACUUCGUG